GGUAAAAUGGCUGAAAAUUAGGCGAUAAAUUGUAAAUUUAUUUAUGAGAUAGAUCUCUUUUACU
rnacentral:tRNA from 1 species